CUGCGGACCAUUAGGUAGUUGGUGGAUUAACAGCCCACCAAGCCAACGAUGGAUAGCUGGUCUGAGAGGAUGAUCAGCCACACUGGAACUGAGACACGGUCCAGACUCCUACGGGAGGCAGCAGUAAGGAAUAUUGCUCAAUGGGAGAAAUCCUGAAGCAGCAACGCCGCGUGAAGGAAGAAGGGUCUUCGACUUGUAAACUUCUGUAGAAGAGGGAAAAUACUCCGAUAUACUCGGAAUUGAUUGUACUCUUAAAGUAAGCCCCGGCUAACUACGUG
rnacentral:rRNA from 1 species